rnacentral:rRNA from 1 species
CCUACGGGAGGCAGCAGUGAGGAAUAUUGGUCAAUGGACGAGAGUCUGAACCAGCCAAGUAGCGUGAAGGAUGACUGCCCUAUGGGUUGUAAACUUCUUUUAUAAAGGAAUAAAACGAGGCACGUGUGCCUUUUUGCAUGUACUUUAUGAAUAAGGAUCGGCUAACUCCGUGCCAGCAGCCGCGGUAAUACGGAGGAUCCGAGCGUUAUCCGGAUUUAUUGGGUUUAAAGGGAGCGUAGAUGGGUUGUUAAGUCAGUUGUGAAAGGUUGCGGCUCAACCGUAAAAUUGCAAUUGAUACUGGCAGUCUUGAGUACAGUUGAGGUAAGCGGAAUUCGUGGUGUAGCGGUGAAAUGCUUAGAUAUCACGAAGAACCCCGAUUGCGAAGGCAGCUUACUAAACUGUGACUGACAUUGAUGCUCGAAAGUGUGGGUAUCAAACAGGAUUAGAUACCCGGGUAGUC